rnacentral:rRNA from 1 species
UACGUAGGCGGCGCUGUCAGUCGGGUGUGAAAUCCCACGGCUCAACCGUGGAAUUGCGCCCGAUACUGCAGUGCUUGAGGGAGACAGAGGUAAGCGGAACUGAUGGUGGAGCGGUGAAAUGCGUUGAUAUCAUCAGGAACGCCAGUGGCGAAAGCGGCUUACUGGGUCUCUUCUGACGCUGAGGUACAAAGCCAGGGAGCGAAGG